CUGAAAUCAAGUGGGACUACCCGCUGAACUUA
rnacentral:rRNA from 1 species